AAGAAUCAUUAAUCACAUCAUUCACAUGCUCCCAUUAAAACAAGCAAACUCCAUAAUAACGACAAAGUUCAAGACAAACAAAUCACCAAUUCCAUAUAUAAGAUAAUUUCUUGAACUUUCUUGAGUAGCUAAUUUUGUACAAGUAAUUAGCUUGUUGAAAUAAAAGAAAGAAAUACCUUAAAAGUAAUAAAAUUCAAAAUUUACUCGAGAGAAGAACAUUCUUUUUUGAUUGUGGACUUAGAGAUCAUGCUU